rnacentral:rRNA from 1 species
CCUACGGGAGGCAGCAGUGGGGGAUAUUGCACAAUGGGGGAAACCCUGAUGCAGCGACGCCGCGUGAGGGAAGACGGUCCUCUGGAUUGUAAACCACUGUCCCCAGGGACGAAGAUGACGGUACCUGGGGAGGAAGCUCCGGCUAACUACGUGCCAGCAGCCGCGGUAAUACGCGGGGAGCAAGCGUUGUCCGGAAUUACUGGGUGUAAAGGGAGCGUAGGCGGGAUGGCAAGUUGGGUGUUAAAUCUACCGGCUCAACUGGUAGGCGCACUCGAAACUGCUAUUCUUGAGUGAAGUAGAGGCAGGCGGAAUUCCUGGUGUAGCGGUGAAAUGCGUAGAUAUUAGGAGGAACACCAGUGGCGAAGGCGGUCUGCUGGGCUUUUACUGACGCUGAGGCUCGAAAGUGUGGGUAGCAAACAGGAUUAGAUACCCCAGUAGUC